GGCCUCGUAGUUCAACGGAUAGAAUAGAAGUUUCCUAAACUUUAGAUAUGGGUUCGAUUCCCGUCGAGGCUACAA
rnacentral:tRNA from 1 species